rnacentral:SRP_RNA from 1 species
GCUGGGUGUGGUGGCGCGUGCCUGUAGUCUCAGCUACUCGGGAGGCUGAGGUGGGAGGAUCGCUUGAGCCUGGGAGUUCUGGGCUGUAGUGUGCUAUUCCAAUUGGGUGUCCGCAGUAAGUUCGGCCUCAGUAUGGUGACCUCCUGGGAAUGGGGGACCACUAGGCUGCCUAAGGAGAGGCGAACCGGCCCAGGUUGGAAAUGGAGCAGAACAAAGUAAGGUGGGCGGAACAAGCUUGCGGGGAAACAGUAGGGGAAUAGGUAACUCACCCCAAACAGGCUUAUUCCUGUUCCUUUAUCCUU